CGUUGAUAACAUGUUGGUGACAGGCGAACAUGUCUCAUAACUCACAGUUUUAGACAUUCUCGUUGGAAUCAGCCUCAGAUCCUAGUAGUACCAACUUGCUGAAGCAGGUGGUACACGGUUCUAAGUGCUUUAUCUGUUCUCCAAGGAUCUGGUGGGAAAAAUUAAAGGUAAGACAUCUGGAAGACAUCAUGUCAGUUUCCCUUUCGUCGCGAGUGUUGUAUUUGCCUAUGAACUCUAUAGGCUCCUUGCUGGUGCCAAAGAAAGGAAUAGUGUUUGUUCUGUCUAUCAACAUAUCCCUUGCGAACUGGUUUUUCGGUCGAGGAAGAUGAACUGUUUGCCCUUCUAACAGUAACAAAAAGUCACUCCAUGCGAUGAUUUCAGGUGUCUACCUGAAAUCGUUUAAGUAGGCCACUUCACAUUCAUCGAGGCCAACCCAUGCGUAUUUGUCGGUAGCCGGAUUCACAAACGCUUUG